AUUGAACGCUGGCGGCAUGCCUUACACAGGCAAGUCGAACGGCAGCACGGGUGCUUGCACCUGGUGGCGAGUGGCGAACGGGUGAGUAAUACAUCGGAACGAACCUUAUCGUGGGGGAUAACGCAGCGAAAGCUGUGCUAAUACCGCAUACGCCCUGAGGGGGAAAGCGGGGGAUCGAAAGACCUCGCGCGAUUAGAGCGGCCGAUGCCUGAUUAGCGUGUUGGUGGGGUAAAAGCCCACCAAGGCGACGAUCAGUAGCUGGUCUGAGAGGACGAUCAGCCACACUGGGACUGAGACACGGCCCAGACUCCUACGGGAGGCAGCAGUGGGGAAUUUUGGACAAUGGGGGAAACCCCGAUCCAGCAAUGCCGCGUGAGUGAAGAAGGCCUUCGGGUUGUAAAGCUCUUUUGUCAGGGAAGAAACACCGGCUCUAACACAGUCCGGGAAUGACGGUACCUGAAGAAUAAGCACCGGCUAACUACGUGCCAGCCGCCGCCGUAA
rnacentral:rRNA from 1 species